CAUUCAGAAUGAAAGGUGCAAUUUCCUCUACGGCACUCCUACCAUGUACAUUGACAUGCUUGGACAGCCUGACCUUCACAAGUACGACCUGUCAUCAGUUGAAUCUGGAAGGAUGAUGGUGAUUUCUGUUCCAGGGUUUACGGGUGGGUCUCUUUGUCCUCCUGAAGUCAUGAGGAAACUAAAAACUGAUAUGAAUGUCAAGGAUAUGAUAAUAGGCUAUGGGACCACAGAGAACAGCCCUGCAGCGUUCCUUGGUUUCCCGCGAGACAACGAGGAACUGAAGACAGAGACCGUGGGAUGUAUCCUGAACCAC